AGUUGUGUUUAGGGGUGAAAGGCCAAUCAAGCCGGGAAAUAGCUGGUUCUCCGCGAAAACUAUUGAGGUAGUGCCUCGGAUGGACACCUUAUGGGGUAGAGCACUGGAUGGUUGCGGGGGUCGCGAGAUCUACCAAUACUAACCAAACUCCGAAUACAUAAGAGUGAUAUCCGGGAGACAGACGGCGGGUGCUAAGGUCCGUCGUCAAAAGGGAAACAGCCCUGACCUACAGCUAAGGUCC
rnacentral:rRNA from 1 species